GACAAUUGUUUUAUAAAAAAAGUCUUGGAUCAAUCAUUGCAAAGGGAUAACUUCAUUGAAGAAACUACUAUUACAACGAGGACCAACAUCUAGACAUAAAGGAAUAUUCCGAAAAAAAGCAUCACUUAUAUAAAUAUAUCUAAAUAUAACAAAUGGACAACAAAUCACCAUCGACAACGUAGUGAAAAGAAAAAAAAAGUUUCAGUGAAUAAAUGUUAUCAGAACUCGAUAGGAAUCUGUCGAAUCAAGCAAGAAAUACAUUAUUUGGAUAAACAAAUUUUAAUUUAACAAUUGUGGGAUUAUUUGAUGCGGUCUUACAAUGCCCGGCCAAGUUUCAAACUAUGGUAAACGCGAACACAGUUAAACAUAGAAAAUGUCAAAAAGAGUAAAUGUCGACGAAUUUUUAAAUUUUGGCAUGUCGUCGUCAAUCGCGUGAAAAAUGCAUCACUGGGGUUUAUUUCCAAGAGAAACAAAUACAUUUUACAAAUUAAAGGAUUCAUAAAAUUGCAGAAAGAGAAUUGAUACAAGAACUAGAUGUUUCACUAUCCCUAAUAACGAAAUAACCAAAUAUUCGUUUUAUUUAUUUCGGAAAUGCAAAAAAAGCUGACGUCCCAGGUAUGGGUUUAGACCAUUGAAGAGCCAAUUGAGAGAGCUUCAAAAUGACGUACUACUCAAUCACCUUGAAGCGGUCGAGAAUGUGUAAAACUACCCCCAAUACUAAAAUAACCAAAUGUUUAUUUUAUUUAUUUCGGACUCGCAAAAAAAGCUGACGUCCCAGGUAACAAAUUAGGCCAUUGAAAAACCGCUUAGAAGAUGCUAGUUUAACAGCAAAAUUUAUCAUCAAUGACUUAUCAAUAAAACGACUUCUGAUAACUUCAAGAGAAAUUACCAUAAGAAAUUUAAAUAAACCAUCAUUGCCAAUUUGGAAAGAAAAUUAUCCAAGUAAAAUAUUAUUUGGAUAAAUGGAUAUAAACACAGGUACGAUAUGAGUCGGAGAGGAAUCUGUUUAAAAUGAGAAGGAAAAACCUGCUAUUAAUUCAAGAAAGUGAAUUUUUAAGUAGUUACCGACAGUUUUAAUGUAGAUUUCAGGCCGUUAAGUCAUGAAAAUGCCUAUUUUGAAUAUAAUCUACCGUAAAUCAAGGGCGAAAACCAAUUUUUUGUUCGUUUUAAUAAGAAGCAAUCUUCAGAGCACUAAUUGGUAUUAAUUGUAAUUCGAAGGAGGUUUCGGGGGUUUAAGGUGCGCUCAAAACGAUACAAUGAUUUAAAAUUGUAUCUGACGUUUCGUUUUAAUAAGAAGUCAUCUUCAGGGCAUUAAUUUGUAAUAAUUGGAAUUUGAAGGUUAUUCCGAGGGUUUUAAGUUGCGCUGAAGAUGAUGCAAUGAUUUAAAAUUGUAUCCGACGUUUCGUUUUAGUAAGAAGCCAUCCUCAGAGCCCUAAUUCGUAAUAAUUGCAAUUUAAAUUUAAGAUUUCUAACCUCAUCGUUAGUUGUGAGGUUAUCCGAUACGAUAUCUACGAUAAGAAGAACAAAUGCCAAUAAAUUACAAGAUACUCGUCGAUCAUGCAUUUUUGAAGAUUACGGGAUCCAAAAAUUUAUAUAAAAACAAAAUUACGUACAACAAUAAGAUGUUUUGUCAUGAAGAUUGGUUGGAUUUCAACUUCAAUAGUUAUUGUUAAAUGCAGAUGAAAGUGCCUCUUAAAACUUCAUACCAUUGCGGAAAUUAUCAUCAAUUAAUUAUUAACAAAACAACUGUCAACAACUUCUAAAAAGAUUAUCCUAAAGAACUUUGCACAAUUAUUACAAAUCCAGUAAAUUUCUACCAUGUUUAUAUUAUAAAUUAUAGAUGACAUUGAGCACUACAACAUCAACGUUUCACAUAACUUUUUAAAAUUACUUAUACGAUUUAAAUUAUUUACAUUUUUUUUCUGUCAAAAUAUGAUUUGUAAUGGCUAUAUUUUAAAUAGAUUAUUUUUAAUUGAUUUCUUAGAAUAUUUUGGAAAAUUUAAAUUGUUUUUUUAUUUAUUGAAAUAAUAAAAAAUUUGGAAUAUUUAUACAGAUAGAAAGUAAACCAUUAUCGACAAUUGUUUUAUAAAAAAUGUCUUGGACCAAUCAUUGCAAAGGGAUAACUUCAUUGAAGAAACUACUAUUACAAUGAGGACCAACAUCUAGACAUAAAGGAAUAUUCCGAAAAAAAGCAUCACUUAUAUAAAUAUAUCUAAAUAUAACAAGUAAGUUUUUAAUAAACUCAUAUCGUACGUUAUAUGUAGUAUUUUAAUAUUAAAAAGUUAAUAGUUACUAUAAUAUUUUUAUAAAAUUAACUAGGUAAUAGGUUAUUUUUACAAAACAAAUUAUCUAUUCAAAUUACACAAUCUAAUUUUCCAACAUUUUUAAUUUUUAUACGAUAUUAUUUUCCAUAACCUCUAAUUCAUAUUCGUUUUGUUUCCGAUGGUUACAGGAUUCAAAAAAUUGCAGAAAGAGAAUUGAUACAAGAACUAGAUGUUUCACUACCCCUAGUAACGAAAUAACCAAAUAUUCGUUUUAUUUAUUUCGGAAACGCAAAAAAAGCUGACGUCCCAGGUAUGGGUUUAGACCAUUGAAGAGCCAUUUGAGAGAGCUUCAAAAUGACGUACUACUCAAUCACCUAGAAGCGGUCGAGAAUGUGUAAAACUACCCCCAAUACUAAAAUAACCAAAUGUUUAUUUUAUUUAUUUCGGACUCGCAAAAAAAGCUGACGUCCCAGGUAACAAAUUAGGCCAUUGAAAAACCGCUUAGAUGAGGGUAGUUUAACAGCAAAAUUUAUCAUCAAUGAGUUAUCAAUAAAACGACUUCUGAUAACUUCAAGAGAAAUUACCAUAAGAAAUUUAAAUAAACCAUCAUUGCCAAUUUGGAAAGAAAAUUAUCCAAGUAAAAUAUUAUUUGGAUAAAUUUAUAUAAACACAGUUGCGACGUUAUCCAAUACGGUUCUGCAGUGCCUUUUCCGAAUUUGAAUCCAUGGUAGACACAACCAUAUUCGAACACGAAGAGACGUUGAAGACGCUGAGAUGAGAACAUGGUGCAAAUUUCAAGAUUUUGGAAUAUCGUCGUUCAUCGCGCAAAGAAUACAUCGCGGGGAUUUAUUUUGAGAAGAAACAGAAAUAUUUCAUACAUAACAGGUGAUUAGGAUACCCAAGAAAUUACGCAAAAGCAAAACAAUACGAUAAUAGAAAAGUGAGCAUACAGAAAAAUAUUUGAUAUGAUUCAACAACAAGGUGUUUAGUCAUAAAGAAUGAUUCCAAUUCGGAUUAGAUAGUUUUCAUCAAGUACGAGUGAAUAUACCUCUUACAACAUAAAAAUUACCCCGAGUUAGUUAUCAAAGAAACAAUUGUAGACAACUUCUAAAGAAAUUGUCAUAAGGAACUUGCCAAAAUUGCCAUCACCGAUUUGAAAUGGAUAUAUUUCUGCAAAUGAACAACAAACCAUCAUUGACCAUUGAUGAUCACUUUUAUGAAGAAUGUCUUUGACCAUUCAUCCAAAAAAAAAGCCGUUGAUAAUUUCAUCAAAAAGAUUACCGUUGUGACCCUACAAGGACCGAUGUCAUCUAGACGAGAAGAGGUUUUACAAGAAAUAGGAUACUCGAAUAAAAAGAUUCAAAUGUACCAAGCAAGUUUUAAAUAAACUCAUAUUGUAUAUUAUAUGUAGUGUU